rnacentral:rRNA from 1 species
AGUGAACGCUGGCGGUAGGCCUAACACAUGCAAGUCGAACGGCAGCACAGUAAGAGCUUGCUCUUACGGGUGGCGAGUGGCGGACGGGUGAGGAAUACAUCGGAAUCUACUUUUUCGUGGGGGAUAACGUAGGGAAACUUACGCUAAUACCGCAUACGACCUACGGGUGAAAGCAGGGGAUCUUCGGACCUUGCGCGAUUGAAUGAGCCGAUGUCGGAUUAGCUAGUUGGCGGGGUAAAGGCCCACCAAGGCGACGAUCCGUAGCUGGUCUGAGAGGAUGAUCAGCCACACUGGAACUGAGACACGGUCCAGACUCCUACGGGAGGCAGCAGUGGGGAAUAUUGGACAAUGGGCGCAAGCCUGAUCCAGCCAUACCGCGUGGGUGAAGAAGGCCUUCGGGUUGUAAAGCCCUUUUGUUGGGAAAGAAAAGCAGCAGGUUAAUACCCCGCUGUUCUGACGGUACCCAAAGAAUAGGCACCGGCUAACUGCGU